ensembl:lincRNA
AAGAUAUUGAAAGGAACAGUUAAUGCUUAACUGAUCAAUUUUGCAUGCUUAUAUCUGGUAACCUUAGCAACCUCUUUCAAGAUAACAGUAUGCAAUAUAACAACCAUUGUUCAUUUCCUAUCAUCUUGUUUUGAAAUUUUGUAUCAUUUUUAUCGUUUUUUUCAAUUCUCUUUAAAAGAAAAAGGAAAAAGCUUUUCCAGGGAGAGGUGCUAGUGGUUUUCUGGUGGGGCAUCCGGAAAGCCAGGUGCAGGGCAGCUCAGCCAGUCCUUACUGUGGAGCCAGUUUGUACAGAAUGGUGCCAUAAGUAUGGACAACAUCAAAUAAAGGACUUUUGUAUAUGACAGCUGGACACAGAAGAACAAAAGUCCAUAGAAGGAUGGAGGGAUAUGAGCAUAAACACUGUUGCAAUGAACCAGAGGAAACUUCAUACGAUAAAGUCCGGACAGGAAAGGAGAGGCGUGAAAGGCAGUUCCUAAGAAUGGCCAGGACUGGAGGACCAGAGGGACAUGGAGAGCGAGACAGACACGGGCAGGAAAGACCGCUCCAUGCAGGAAGGCACAGGAGGCAUCUGUGAAGAAGGAAAGACGAGCUGCGGCCUUGGAUAGAGGAUACAAGGGGAAAUACUUGCUGAACUUGGAUCGCGGCAUUGAAGGGGAGAAGGAUGGCAGCAAAACAAGAAAUCCACACUCUGCCGGCUCUACUCACCCCACAGCGUCGCCAACCACCUCCUAAGCCCUGCACCCCACACCCUACUGCUCUCACACCCAUCAGUGAAGUUCCCAGUCAGGAAAUCUUCCACUCCCGAGACGCUUGAUUAACCCUCCAUCCACCGAUGUUCAGAGUGGAGAAAGGCCCAAAAGAAAUGAGGGAAAGGGUCUUGGACAGAAGAGGGAACUCGCCCAAGGCCACAGACAGAGGGGUCCAAAAUAAAGAGCUCCUGAUUUCUGCCCCAGGACACCCACCGCUUCACUGUGACAGCAGCUCCUCCCUCACAGAUACAGUUAAAUGUAUGAAAAAUAUCCAAGUGCCUUGAAGAUCCUCAAGCAAACACUUUAAAAAUAAAAGCAACACCUGCAUCACAGGCCGUUGGUCCAUGGUUAUAAAGAGGGCUGCUACAUUUCUCAAAGGUUGAGGUUUCCCAGUAACAGCUGUUGGGAAACUGCUUCCGUCUUAUCCAGUGAAUGCCGGGACUGCUGAUCGGUGCUCCAGCCACUGGCACAACUGGCCAGCCAGUUCUACAACCGACCAGCUUCUUGGCCUCUCCCAGCUUUAGCAGCUGCCCUUGAGGCGCAAAAGAAACUUGCUUCAGCGCUUUUUUUCGUAAGAGUAGAAACGAAGAAGCAAUUCAUUCUGAAAGCUGUCUUGCUGCAGGAAUAUGGAACUCAUAUUUCUGUGACUGAGUGCUCCUCAGUCAACAACGUGAUCCUCUUUGCUCAAAAUGAUCUCCUGUGGCAGGGCCAGGAAGAAAGGUGCACUCGUCUAACCAGCCAGACACGCCCGACCGGCUCUGGCAGCCGGUGGGCGGACACAGUCGUAGCAAGGCCACCCAAGC